UACGUAGGGGCCUAGCGUUGUCCGGAUUUAUUGGGCGUAAAGAGCUCGUAGGCGGUUCGGCAAGUCGGAUGUGAAAUCUCCACGCUCAACGUGGAGGGCCAUUCGAAACUGCUGUGACUUGAGUCCGGUAGGGGGGUGUGGAAUUCCCGGUGUAGCGGUGAAAUGCGCAGAUAUCGGGAGGAACACCAGUGGCGAAGGCGGCACUCUGGGCCGGAACUGACGCUGAGGAGCGAAAGCGUGGGGAGCGAACAGG
rnacentral:rRNA from 1 species